GGAAUUUCCAUGUUCAUGACGUACAAGUUUAGAUUAAAUUCUAAGUAUAAGGAGUGGUCACAUUUGUGUUUUAUUUAGGACUUUGUUGAUAGGAUAGAAGAACAUGCCACAUAUGACGGAUCUUAGUAUAGAAUCUUCACAGCCGACUAAAUAUUGAACCUCAAUGGCAGUUUUAAAUUCAUUUUUCACGACUUCAAUACGUGUAGCAGUUCAUCGAGCAAGAUCUAUAAGCAUAUUUAAGGCUUCCAUCGUUGCUGGAAAGAGGAGACAAGAACCAAGAACCCGGAAACAAAAACUCGAAACAAAAACAUAUAUACCAAAACCAGCUACAGCAGAAAUUCAGCGAAAACUUUUAAUCGCAAGUGACGUAAAAGAGGCAUAUGCUCA
rnacentral:lncRNA from 1 species